rnacentral:rRNA from 1 species
CCUACGGGAGGCAGCAGUGGGGAAUAUUGGGCAAUGGAGGAAACUCUGACCCAGCGACGCCGCGUGCGGGAUGAAGGCCUUCGGGUUGUAAACCGCUUUCAGUAGGGAAGAAGCGAAAGUGACGGUACCUACAAAAGAAGCACCGGCUAACUAUGUGCCAGCAGCCGCGGUAAUACAUAGGGUGCAAGCGUUGUCCGGAAUUAUUGGGCGUAAAGAGCUCGUAGGUCGUUUGUUACGUCGGAUGUGAAAACCUGAGGCUCAACCUCAGGCCUGCAUUCGAUACGGGCAAACUAGAGUUUGGUAGGGGAGACUGGAAUUCCUGGUGUAGCGGUGGAAUGCGCAGAUAUCAGGAGGAACACCAAUGGCGAAGGCAGGUCUCUGGGCCAAUACUGACACUGAGGAGCGAAAGUCUGGGGAGCGAACAGGAUUAGAUACCCUGGUAGUCCAGACCGUAAACGGUGGGCACUAGUUGUGGGGACCUUCCACGGUUUCUGCGACGCAGCUAACGCAUUAAGUGCCCCGCCUGGGGAGUACGAUCGCAAGAUUAAAACUCAAAGGAAUUGACGG